GUGAAGUUUUGUCUGUUUGUGAGUGUACUAGUGUUGGUUGCUAGUGUACUUAAAAUUAAAUUUAAGUGAUUUUAUCAAUUACUUCAAGUUAUUUUAUUAGAUUCAAUGUGUAUGGCUCUAGUGUUCCUUGGUGAGUCAGUCCUCACAUUCAUGGAGUUCCAAUUGGACAGCGCAGAAUAUUGCCAAGCACAACACAAAUAAAUUUGGCCAAGUGGCGGACGUCGCGCAUAUUCGUUACAUCGGUUUGCGUCGAUUUACAUAAAUAUUCUAAUCCAAAAUCAAAUCAAAUUGUAGCAUUUUUCAUAUCCAUUGUGGCGGCUUCGGCAACCUUUGGCGUUAUUUAUAUUUAAAUAGACAUUCGUCUUUUAUUACGUCUUUCUUUUUUUUUUCUUUUUUAAAUCUAUUUAUCGCUAUUUAAUAACCGUUAAAUGAUAUCCGCCGAUUGAAUUUGUCAACGGUUACUCACACAUUGCAGUGAGGAAUAGAGGCGUUCGAAACAGCGGAUCAAAUCAAUGUAAUACACCGUUCCAUCAUAAACAACUUCCCCUGCAGGGUAUUAUCCAUAAUUUGGUUUAUUUUUAUAUAUAAAUAUAUAUUAUUUUUCAUUUUUUGUGGAAUACCUGCAGUGCCAAAAAUUUAGUUACGAAUUGAUUUUGAAGAAAAAAAAACAUCGAUCAAUGAAAAGACAUCCAGAAAGCAAGAGAAUAUUGUGCGGGAAUUUCUAAUAAAAAAAAUUAUUAAGACUGAAAAUUUCUCAUAAAACUUAGUAAUAAAAAAAUUUUUAAAAACAUAAACUUAAAACAUUUGAAAAACCA